rnacentral:tRNA from 1 species
GGGUAAGUAAUUCAGUGGUAGAAUGCACGUCUCAUACGCGUGUCUUCUUAAGUUCGAGUAUUACCUUACCCA